GGUACUGGAAGCAGAGAAACUAUCUUCUGAUGAACAUAUGCAAGAUUGUCUUUUGCGUUUAUCGUGGGCUCUUGUGCACUCCAAACAUCCCCAAGAUGUGCACCGUGGGAUAGCCAUGCUUGAAGGUCUCUCUCUUUUACUCUUUCAUAAUGCUAUGCAAUUAUAAUUCUAUGUAUGUAUCCGAGUCCCACACCGGGAUCCUUAGGAUAUUUUCCUCUAAUAUAUAAACUGGUAAUACUGAUUUUAAUUUGGAUUCACAUUAUAGUAAACAUAUGUUUAUUAUGAUUUUUAGAAUUUGUGUACAAUGUUCAAUAUAUUGUUCAAUAUGCAUAAAUAUCGUGUUCUAUUAUUUUAAAUAAACAUAUGGCAUAUUAGAUCACUUAUUGUAUGUGAUGCAGGUAUGUAUAUCUGUGCAUUAUAGGUAUGUAUGUUCUGUGUUGAUUGAUAGUAAAAUAACAUGUAUGUAUGUAUGCAUGUAUGUGUUUACAUGAAAAUGGCAGCAUCUUUACCUUCUACAAAGGACCCACUGCAGCAAAGGGAGAAGCUUUAUCUUCUGGCUGUUGGAUACUUUAGAAAUGCU
rnacentral:lncRNA from 1 species